GACGAACGCUGGCGGCGUGCUUAACACAUGCAAGUCGAGCGGUAAGGCCCUUUCGGGGGUACACGAGCGGCGAACGGGUGAGUAACACGUGGGUGACCUGCCCUUAGCUCUGGGAUAAGCCUGGGAAACUGGGUCUAAUACCGGAUAUGACUCCAUGACGCAUGUUGUGGGGUGGAAAGCCUUGUGCGGCUAGGGAUGGGCCUGCGGCCUAUCAGCUUGUUGGUGGGGUGAUGGCCUACCAAGGCGACGACGGGUAGCCGGCCUGAGAGGGCGACCGGCCACACUGGGACUGAGACACGGCCCAGACUCCUACGGGAGGCAGCAGUGGGGAAUCUUGCGCAAUGGGCGAAAGCCUGACGCAGCGACGCCGCGUGGGGAUGACGGCCUCGGUGUAAC
rnacentral:rRNA from 1 species